GCAUUGUUGGUCUAACGGUUAAGAUACCUCUCUUCCAAAGAGGUGGCCUGGGUUCGACUCCCAGACAAUGCA
rfam:Aspergillus wentii DTO 134E9 unplaced genomic scaffold ASPWEscaffold_5, whole genome shotgun sequence.